rnacentral:rRNA from 1 species
GCAAGUCGAACGGCGGCGCGGGUGCUUGCACCUGGUGGCGAGUGGCGAACGGGUGAGUAAUACAUCGGAACGUACCUUAUCGUGGGGGAUAACGCAGCGAAAGCAGUGCUAAUACCGCAUAAGGCCUGCGGGGGAAAGCGGGGGAUCGAAAGACCUCGCGCGAUUAGAGCAGCCGAUGCCUGAUUAGCUAGUUGGUGGGGUAAAAGCCCACCAAGGCGACGAUCAGUAGCUGGUCUGAGAGGACGAUC